ensembl:snoRNA SNORA74 Small nucleolar RNA SNORA74
CCCAGCACUCAGUCAGCUGACCAGGCGUUGGUGUCUGGCUCAGUGUUACAGUGCUGGUAGAGAAAGUCUCUGUUCUUGGUCUCAGCUCGGUGGGUUCUGUUUUAGAGCCUGCUGCUGCUGGGCUGCUGCAGAGCACGGCCAAAUGAGAGUGGCCUGUUCUGCUUCACCGGGACAGGCCUAGUAUAGGGCCACACAUG